UAUUUCUUUAUUCCAAGUGCUGAAGAAUACUCUGAAUGCUUCAGCUUCAUCUGCGUCAUCUGUUAUUUGCUGUCAUGCUGCCAUGGGGUUAGGCUUCCCUUUGUCAUCUUCUUACUUUGAAGGGGUACUUCAGUACAAGGCAGAAUUUGCUUGGAAGGCACCAGGACUGAGUUCCCUAAAGUGAUAUGGAAAAACCUUCUUAAAAUUGUGCAUGAAGAUCAUUUAAGUCUGGAAAAUCCAAGAGAGGGGCUGGAGAAAAUGUGUGCCAGCUACAAAGAAACCCUGACGCUGAGGAAGCAGUAGAAAUUUUGUUUCAUACCAAAAUGCAGCUUCAAGAAAGAGUAGGAGACAACAACAGGAGAGAUGGGUAACUGAUGUGUAGUUACACAUUAAUACCUGUUUAAAGUUUGUGUGUCCUCUGUGGGGGUUACAGCUGAUCUGGAUAGGUCAGAGAUGGAGCCAGGGACACAAGUCCUUUAAAAUAGGAAUGCAAUCCUUUCCAAGCUUAAAAAAGGACUUCUGAAGUCUUCAGCUGGGUUUUCCUGUCUUGGACUUGGUCAGGCUUGGCAUGGGAACACUCUGAAAUCAUUCAGCUGCUUUAUGUCCUUGGACAAAGGAAGAUUUUUUUGGGGGGUCAAUUUUAAAUUCAAAACCUGCUUGGCCAGGUUUGACUGAUAGCUGCUCUGUCAUAAUACAGACACAGGGAUUAGGUGCUGUUUUCCAGUAGCUUAAAAUGUUAUACAAGGUGGCUUGUCACUCACCUUGACAAACCCAAUGUGAAGGUCCCCAGGUAAAUUUCUGACUUACAGCAAUGUAAAUGUUGAUAAUCCAGCUCUCAGCAAGCUAAUUCAAAUUUCAUUCUGGUCUCCAGAUGCUAUCCAGCUUGUGCUCAGAGACCCCAGUGAUGCUGUUAGCAUACUCCUGCCUGAAUACUUUGUGAAAACAGAGGAGACAUUUACAGAACAGCUUCCUUAAUUCCUUCGGAUGCAGCUUCUGGGUUCUGAAAGGGCCCAAAAGACUGACUGUGAAGAAACUGUGACAUAAUUUCAGUGUGCCAAACUGCAACACAGGACGUAGAUAAGGUUCUUGAAAAAUGAAGCCCUGUACUUGAUGUAGAACUUGAAACGGGCUCAGACUGUGGAAUCCAGGAAAUGCUGGCUGGGAAACACCUCUGGAGGCCUUUGGUCCAAUGACUUGCUCAGUUUAAGAUUGUCACCAGCACUAGGUCAAGCCAGCUGCAUUUUUUUUUUUUUUUUUUGCAACCAAACCUGGAAAACCUCCAAGGAUGCACAUCCACCAGCCCUCUGUGAACUAUUCCAAGGCUGCUCACCGCCCCCCAGGCCCCGUGCAUUUUUUUUCCUGAUGUUGAGCUUCCCAAGCUACAACCUAUGCCCAUUACCCCUUGUUAUAGUGUCUGUCACUGCUGAGAAGAGUUUAACUCUGUGGUCUUUAUGGCUCCCUUUCCAGUUUUUGCAGGCUGCUCCUAUUUCUCCACUGAGAAAUAGCCACCUUUUCACUAGGUAAACAGUGCUACAUUUUCUGCAAUGAGAGAGAGCUCACUGUUAUCUUAAUAUUCAACCUAGUGUCCACUACAUAACCCCUAGGUCUUUUGCAGCAUUGGUAGUCUAGAAUUUGAUGGAAAAUGAAUGGGUAUGUUGGAUCUGAUAUGAAAUAUUAAAUCUCUAUUCAAGGUGACAUUUCAUAAAUUACAUGCCUGCGAAAUCAUGGAGAACUCAAAUCUUUUUCAGUAAAGGUGUUUGCUCCAACCACAAAAAGCAAUUGGGGUGCCAUCUCUGGGGCAAAAGCCAGGAAGACCCAG